UACGUAGGGUGCGAGCGUUGUCCGGAAUUACUGGGCGUAAAGAGCUCGUAGGUGGUUUGUCGCGUUGUUCGUGAAAACCGGGGGCUUAACCCUCGGCGUGCGGGCGAUACGGGCAGACUGGAGUACUGCAGGGGAGACUGGAAUUCCUGGUGUAGCGGUGGAAUGCGCAGAUAUCAGGAGGAACACCGGUGGCGAAGGCGGGUCUCUGGGCAGUAACUGACGCUGAGGCGCGAAAGCUAGGGGAGCAAACAGG
rnacentral:rRNA from 1 species